AUUGAACGCUGGCGGCCUGCCUAACACAUGCAAGUCGAACGGCAGCACGACCUAGCUUGCUAGGUUGGUGGCGAGUGGCGCACGGGUGAGUAAUGCGUAGGAAUAUACCUUAAAGUGAGGGAGAACCUGGGGAAACUAAGGCUAAUGCCGCAUGAGCUCUAAGGAGGAAAGCUGGGGACCUUUCGGGGCCGGGCGCGGUAAGAAUAGCUCACGUCCGAGUAGUUAGUUGGUGGGGUAAAGGCUUACCAAGACGAUGAUCGGUAGCUGGUCUGAGAGGAUGAUCAGCCACACUGGGACGGAGACACGGCCCAGACUCCUACGGGAGGCAGCAGUGGGGAAUAUUGGACAAUGGGGGAAACCCUGAUCCAGCGAUGCCGCGUGUGUGAAGAAGGCCUGCGGGUUGUAAAGCACUUUCGGUGGGGAGGAGGACUUAUAGGUUGAGAGCUAAUGAGUUGGACGUUACCCACAUAAGAAGCACCGGCUAACUCCGUGCCAGCCGCCGCAGUAA
rnacentral:rRNA from 1 species